UUUUUAUUAUAUAUUUUACUAUUUUCAGAUUCUACCUAUUUGCUUUCCCUAGUCUCUUAUUUAUAAGGGUUGUAAUUUUUCUAAUUUCCUUAAAGCAGUAUUUGGUUCACUUUACUUUAAAUAGAAUGUGUGUAUAUAUGGCUAUAAAUUUUUCCUCUGUAGCUUUCUUUUUCAGUACAUUUUGCUAUGAACUGUUCUCCUUUUCAGUUUUUUCUAGAAAUUUAGAAAUUGCUUUUGUUUUCUUCUUAUUUAGGAAUGAUCACUUUUGGAUUUAUUUAUUUAUUUAUUAGCAUCUGAUAAUUAGUUCUUCCUUACUCUUGCAAAGGAUUUUUCCUUUUCAGCACUGGGUAUCGAAGCUAGAGCCUUUAGCAUGCUGGACAAGCACUCUACCAUUGAGCCAUAACCUAGGCCCUUUUAUUUUUCUUUUUUGUUGUUGUUGUUGUUUUUGUCCUUUUAUUUUUCUUAUUUUGAGACAGAGUCUGGCUAAGUUACCCAGGUUAGCCUCAAACUUGUGAUCCACAAGGAAUUAAUUUUUAAUGUUAUUCUGCAAAAUUUAAUGAAAACAUCAAAAUACAACAAACCUGAUACCUUACACCUACAGACUACUUCUAAGUAAACUGUGAUCCUAUUUUUCGUAUAUUUAUCCCUCUUUUCAUAUUUUCCUAGUUCAUCUUUUCUUCAAUGUGAACUUCAGGGGCAAUGUUUGAGUUCCUCUCACCAGUUCUGUUCCUGUUCUCCUCAUUUUCUGACCAUGGACUUCACCAAGCUGAACCAAAGCUAUGCUCUGACUCUCCAGGGAGCUGAGCAGACUCAAAUCUUCAACCUUGAGAGUGAGUGUGACUGUCCUUAGGAAGAAACUGCAAAAUUGAAAGCCUCAACUGACCAUCCUAAAAAAGCAAGUAAGCCUCCAGAGGGUGGACACAGAUUACUCUUCACUUGACCAUUAGUCCUGUGGAAAGUGCACUAGGGGGCACCGCCCCUCAAAUGCCCCAGAAAGGUGGAGAGCCUGAGAAAAAUCUUAGAAAACAAGGUGGAUUUCACAUUUUCCUUCAUGUUCCAAUCACAUGUGUUUUGACAAGAUAUCAGGAACUAAUGUUCCCAUAUCAGAUGAUUCAAACAUAAGAACAAGUGCAAUGCCAUGGACUUGAAACAGGAAGAGGAUCCUCCAGCAAACAUAGAACACUGUUUCCCACAGUGAGCUGUGAGAAAUGUUAGUCCAGGGAACCAUUUUCAAGGAAAUGCCUUGCAACCAUUACUAUUUUCUUGGAAAUUCCUAAUGUCAAAGGCAACGAGAAGUCCCAUAGUAAAGCAACCUGACUACCCCAGCACUUCUCUUCCUAAUUGGAUCCUAGGCCCACUCUCCCCUUUUAUAAAGAAUACAUAUUAAUAUCUCACAACACUUAUUUCAGAAAACAUUGAACUAGACCAGUGCUGAAUCAAAAGGAACUUCCCACACACAAGGUGUGUGGUCAUUCUGAGUGUAUCAUCCAUCCAGAAAGAAUUUGGAGAGAAAUCUCAGGCUGAAUAGAUCCUGAAAGCUUCCAUGCUUCCUCAUCAGGCAUCAUGUGCACUGCAUCCACUCCAGCCUGCUUAGCAGGCCCCGGGGCUGGCCUUGAAUGCUAGCCCUGUACCCCCACGCAGGUCUCAGGCUUUUUACCUUCCAGUGCACACAAAUACCAGCCAAGGGAAGAAAUUAAAAAUUGGGGCAACUGCCACAUUUCAAAUAUUCCCUCUCCAGUAACCUAAGAAAAAAAUCAAUGACUGUGUCUGUGAGAGACUGUUAAAGUUUGGCUUGUUGGCCGUGGUGGGCAGUCAGUAACUGUAACUGCCCUUCAGGGCCACACCAAGUGGAAAUUUCACCAAGUUGGGUUUUUAGGAACCCUAUCAGCAAUCCCAGGAUCGGGUCUUAUAUCUAACAAAUUAUAUUUUACAUUUUUUAAGAGCAAGUUACUGACAACUAGGCCGAUCCCUCUGCAAUUAGAAUCUGAUGUCAGAGUGAGAAAAUCCUCUGCUAACUGGGAACUCCCAUGUCACUCAUUCUGUAUUAAUGAUAUUUAUUCUCUAUCGUUGUUCCAUUCUGAAAAAAAUGGGUCCCCUGGUUCCAAUGUUAUGUUAAGCAUAUUACAUGUUACUCCAAAGUCAGUUCAUAUAUUACAGCUCGUUACACUCCUGGGUAUACAUUUCUGAAUAGCUCUCACUCCACAGUUACAGCUCCACGUUAAAUAUGGGCUGCCAUGAGUGCAGCCUCAGAGAGUUGUCUGUUCUAUUCCCGGCUUCUUGUUUUCCCUUGGAGUUUUCCC
rnacentral:lncRNA from 1 species